rnacentral:rRNA from 1 species
UGGGGAAUAUUGCACAAUGGGCGAAAGCCUGAUGCAGCAACGCCGCGUGAGUGAUGAAGGCCUUCGGGUUGUAAAGCUCUGUCUUCUGGGACGAUAAUGACGGUACCAGAGGAGGAAGCCACGGCUAACUACGUGCCAGCAGCCGCGGUAAUACGUAGGUGGCAAGCGUUGUCCGGAUUUACUGGGCGUAAAGGAUGCGUAGGCGGAUACUUAAGUCAGAUGUGAAAAUCCCGGGCUUAACUUGGGAACUGCAUUUGAAACUGGGUAGCUAGAGUGCGGGAGAGGAAAGUGGAAUUCCUAGUGUAGCGGUGAAAUGCGUAGAGAUUAGGAAGAACACCAGUGGCGAAGGCGACUUUCUGGACCGUAACUGACGCUGAGGCAUGAAAGCGUGGGGAGCAAAC